GCAUCACAGAGGACGACAGGUCACACUGGCACCUGUGUCCAGGGGCAGCAGCAGGCAGUUGAACUCUGGCAGCACACGCAGUGGGAAUGCUGGGCUGGAUGGGGGCUAGCAAAGCCAGGCUGGGGGUUUAAACCCAGAGUGAGAACUGGGACCCUCAGGACUGCCAGUCCAGCAGCUGCCAUGGCUUACUUGGCUCACUGAGGCUGUUCUGCUGUCUGUGGCCUUCUGGCUGGUCAGGAGAUGGAAGUGGCGCUCUGCCAGCAGCAGGAGGCGGGAGGGAUCCAGCAGCAAGGAGAAUGGCAACAGUGAGGAGAAGGCUGGCAGCAAGGAGCAGGACCCACUCAGCACGAAGGUGCUGAAGGAGCUGUUGGACGAGCUCCUCAGUGUCUGCCGAGUGCUGUCCCGGAGGAGCUUCAUGCCAGAGCUGCACCCAGCCACCGGGACAGGCACCAGCUCUGAAGCCUGGAGCAUCCAGGAGAACAGCAGCACCUACUGCCCUCUGGUCAUCCUGCGGCCAC
rnacentral:lncRNA from 1 species